rnacentral:ncRNA from 1 species
UUAAUUGAGAGUUUGAUCCUGGCUCAGGAUGAACGCUGGCGGCGUGGAUAAGGCAUGCAAGUCGAACGGACCAGCACCACUUUAGCAAUAAAGUGGUGCUGGUUAGUGGCAGACGGGGUAGUAACACGUAGGAACUCACCCCAGAGACGGGUAUAAUCCAUCGAAAGGUGGACUAAUUCCCGAUAGUUCCCGAAAGGGUAAAGGGUCCGACUUCGGUCGCGACCGCUCUGGGAGAGGCCUGCGGGCUAUCAGCUAGUUGGCGGGGUAAUGGCCCACCAAGGCUACGACGGCUAGGGGGAGUGAGAGCUUGGCCCCCACCAAU